rnacentral:misc_RNA from 1 species
GUUCGUUCAUUUCUGCUUAGCUGCAUAUAUGAGUAAGUUAUAUAAUGGCUUCGUCCUGUGUGAAAAGCAAGUUCAAAUUUAGUGCCAGUAACUACUGCCACUACUACUGUAUUUACAACGAAUUUUGAACUCUGGAAAUAUUUCCAAUAUAUAUCAGUUUGCAGCAUUAUUGCAUAUCUGAUGUGUCUCAAAUGCUGUACAUUGGAAAAGAAAAGGGCAGCCUGUGAUCUUUAAAGUGCUUGUGGAAUUUACUUAUGAUCUGAC